ensembl:lncRNA
GGUCUUGAGAAGAGCUCUAAAAAACAUCUCAGGCCAUCUGGCCUAUUUUUUUCACAUGUGUGACUCCUACAAGAAAGUGUGGUCAGAGAAGAUAUAUAGAAGCUCCCAGGUGUCUUCCUUAAAAGACAGCAGAGGCUUGCUCUGUGCACCUCGCAGGUCCACCCCUCCUUCAUUGUCUGGCCAUGUUCUGAACAAGAGGCAGAUGGCUGUACUUUAAGGCCAGCUAGAAGAAACCCCAAAAUACCCAGGCCAGGAUUCAGGCAGAUAACUGGUUUGACUCUAAGUCCAUGCUCUUUCCACUGAGCCAUUUUUUCAAGGCCUUAUUCACAAAAGUUUACUCAGUAAAAGACAUAAGACACGUGUGUAAAGAACAGAAUGAAGUCUGAGCAAGGUUGACCAUGGACCACAUUUUGAGAAACGUUUGGUUGGGCAAUAACAUUGGACAAAUAAGUGGAAGGAAAGACAAAGAAAGAGGAAAAAAAUACAGGCUAUGAAGGAAAAGCAAUUUGGUAAUUGCAUGUUGGAAGAUAAGAUAAGUGAAUUCGGUAUCUUCUGUGUGUGCUGUUGCAAGCAGAACACAGUGGCUGGGUGAUGAUCAGGAACCACAGAGAAGAUGACUUAUCCCUGAACUUUCCAGGCCUUGAACUUGAGAAAGAUUGGCAGUGAUAGCAGGAGUGGAAUAAGAAUAUUGAAAAGGCCGGGAAGAAAUGGCAUUCCCACGGUCAGUAUUGGCAGCACUUCACCCGGAAGACCGGCAUGGGGAAUUUCCUGUCUGGAUGUGGAGAAUCUGCCCAGCGGGUGGCUCUGGACAAUGGGGAAGUAGGGAGGACUCUGCGGGGCACAGCAAUCAUGGAAACAGUGGUCUGUAACACAACUUUUCGUCCAGUCUAACCCCCAUGAACCCUGUAGGUAUGAAAGCACUGGUUUGGAAAGAGCAGAAAGGUGAGCAAGUUUGGAGACAUUCUGACAGGGUUACAUAGGGGAACAUUUGUUCUUCUACACUUCACAUUGUUUCCUAUGCAUAAUCUUACCCCUUAAAUCAGGGUCAAGAAAAUGACCCUAGCCUCCUUUUAAAAAGGAAAGGUUAUAUAAGCUAUCAGCUCUAGAAUCUGCCACCUUAGGACUGAUGACUACAAAUAAAGAAUUUCUUAUGAAAUUCAAAUGGAAGUUGCCAGUGAACUUUCCUUUUCAAAAGAAGCAUUGACUUUUCCUAGGAUAUUUUCUGUUCCUCUAUUGCUGUGACUCUGGGUGCCUUCCUAUCCCACUGCCUUGCUGUCUGUAUUAGUUUCCCAUGGCUUCCAUAACAUACUGCUACAAGCUAAGUGGCUCAAAAUAACACAGAUCUAUUAUUUUGUGGUUCUGGAGUUCAGAAGUCCAGCAUGGAUCUCACUGGGCUGAAAUCACAGUGUCGAAAGUGCUAUAUUCCUUCUAGAAGAUCUAUGGAAGAAUCUGGUUUUUUGCCUUUUCCCCGUUCCAGAGGACACUUGUUUUCUUGGGUUCAAGCUCCCUUUUAUAUUCAAAGCCAGCAGUGGCCUGUUGAGCCUUUCUCAUUUGGCAUCACUCUGACAUUGGCUCUUCUGCCUACCUAUUCUAUCUUUUAGGAACCACUGUGAGUACAUUGAGCCCACACAGACAAUCUAGGAUAAUAUGCCUAUUUUAAGGGCACCUGAUCAGCCACCUAACUUCCAUAUGUAGAUCUUAACCUCCCCCUUGCCAUGCAACAUAAUGUAUCCACGUAGCUUCUGAGGAUUAAGAUGUAGACGUGUUUGGAGGAGCCAUGACUCUACCACAGCUUCUCUAUCUGAUCACCUUUGUGGCUCUGGGUUAGCAGCUCAUGGAGGGCACAUGUAGUGCCAACAAGUGUCCACAAAUAUUAUAUAUAUACUUGCCAUCAGGAUUGAAUUCAUGCUCAUUUGUAUAUCUCUUAGCUAUGUUGCUUAAACUCCCUCCAAGAGAAACAAAUAUUACAUAUAUACUUGCCAUCAGGAUUGAAUUCAUGCACAUUUGUAUAUCUCUUAGCUAUGUUGCUUAAACUCCCUCCAAGAGAAACAAAUAUUACAUAUAUGCUUGUGUAAACAAAAUAGAAAUGGGGCAUGGGGUAGGGAUGAAUCAGAAGUUUGGGAUUAACGUAUACACACUGCUAUAUACAAAACAGAUAAACAAUGAGGGCCUACUGUACAGCCUGGGGAACUGUAUUCAGUAUCUUGUGAUAACCUAAAAUGGAAAAGAACCUGAAAAAGAAUAGAUUUAAAUAUAUAUAUGUAACUGAGUCACUUUUCUGUACACCUGAAACAAGCAACAUUGUGAAUCAAUGAUCCUUCGAUUAAAAAAUACAGGGAAAAGAUAAAUGGAAAUAUAUAUAUA